UAUUUUUAAUUUUCCCGAUCACUUCGUUUAGUUCUUUUUUAAGAGCAAGAGAUGUGAAAAAGAGCUAUUUUUGAAGUUUUAACUUUAAAAAAUAUAUUUAUGGUAGUUUGCAACCGAUUUUCAAUUUCAACAAAAAAAAAUAAAUCCAAAAUUUAUGAUUAAUGUCUUGAUUACGGCCAUUUAAGUAAAAAAAACUCACACUUUUUUCCACAAAAAGGCACUUUAAGUUGGGUUUCCAAUGAUGGUCAAUUUAUGAUAAUCGAUGAAAAAGUUUAUGGGUUGUGCUAAGUUUUAUAAAAAUAUAGCAUAUUUCUUCCAUACAAAAACGUUCAUGUUUCUGGUUUUCUUUGUAACAAGUUUAAAAAAUGUUUAUAAACAUUUUUAUAUAAAAAUUAAUUUGUAUGUAGAAAACCAAAAAUUCGAGGAACAUGCUAUUAGAAAAAUUGCAUAAAUCAUCCAGUUUUUCAUAGAUUUUUAUGAAAUAACAAGUUUUGGAAACCUUCCUUUAUGUGAUUCUUCAGGAAACUGCCUCAUGGUCAAAGUAGAGCAUGAUGAAAAUUAAAUUUUUUUAAAAAAGUGUGAGUUUUUUUACUUAAAAGACCGUAACUCAGACAUUUGACCAUAAAUUUUGAAUUUAUUUUUUUGGAUUAAAAGGCAACACUUGUGUCAUUAAAAAAAUAUCGGAUUUGAAAAUCGGAUGAAAACUACUAAACUACUUUUUCGCAUCUUUUGCUCUUAAAAAGUAAGUAAACGAAGUGAUAGGGGAAAACUAAAAAUAUAUUCGUACUCUAUGGACUAUAACGAAAUAGAAUUGGUAUAUGAGAAUGCCUGCAUUUUAUUUUUCUUCACUUUUGUAUCACAGUGUUAUUAUUCUAAAAACGUUUUAAUCAUCCAAUUUUGGUUCCUGAAGAACUAGAACUGUAAGAUCGAGAGGUCUCCAUUCCAUUCUCCAGUCAAAGAAAUUUUAAUCGGUCUCGUUCAGAAUUGGGGUUUCGCUGUUGAUUUCUUAGCUUCAGUACACCAUUGUAAAAACUUUCAAAGCUUUCCAUCGGCAUUUGGCGACGAUCCAUAAUUUGUUUUUGUAACUGGAACUCGUUCUCAAAUCUUCUGAACUGGGUAAGGAAUGCUCCCACCAACUCAUCGCAGGACUGUAUUGGCCUUAACUUACGUAGGUUCCAAUACCAGUCCAGCGGAUGGCCUUCUAGCAGAUGAUGAAAACCUCGUAGGACGUCAUUGAACGCGCAGUUGUAGUCCUGUCUUAGAACGUCUACUCGAAAAAUGAAAUCUUCAGCACUCAUGGACUUCGAGGUUCCGUCGAACUUAAUGCCCCAUUUGGACAAAUCCACCUUACUUUGAACGGCGAAUGCGCCGUCAGUAGGCCAACUUGGAGCUUGUGAGGAUUGAAUUGGUGCUGAAAAAACUGGAUUCGCAUUUGGUGGUUGCUGCUCUACAGGCUGAUGGUUAAACACUGCAUUUGGCUGCCGAUAUUCGCGGCUCCGUUGGUUGAAGGGCCGAUAUCGGCGGAUUAGCUGGAGCAGCAGCAUUGCCGAAUUCCUGUUGCAAUUCGGUUCGCAACUGCCGUAUUUGUCCUUGCAAUUCCUCCCGCACAAAAGUAAACAUAUCGCCUCCUGUGGUGCCGAUGUUAACAGGUUGAGGAGCUGUCGGCGGGACAUUUGCUCGGAACUCUUGUUGCACAUUCCUGGCGGUGAUACUGCUGUAGUCAGGCGAUGUAAUCGUGCUGUUGGAGAUGGCAGACUCAUUUAAAAACCCAGAACGUUCAUGGGCCAUAGACGAUGUCGAUGCAGAGGUAGUAGUUGUCGUAGCUGUGUUGGCAAUCGUAUACGUCGGCUGCGCCGUGAGAACUACAGUUCCUGCAGUCGUGCGUGUAAUUUUCUCCAUAUUGGAAAUAUUAUUAUGCUCAGUUUGUACACGAGUCCUAGCCGAGCGAGUUAAGACCAUUCCUAAUGAAUAGAAAUCUAGUUGGCGGAAUGACCCCACAAUAAAAACUCAACCAAAAUAACAAAAUAUAAUAAAAUAUCCAAUUGAAGAUUUGUAUAUAUAACAGACCGCUAGUAAAAAAAAACUACUUAUCUCUAUGAUAAAUAUUAGUAAAAUACUAGAAGAAAUUCCUCCUCUUUCCCAAAGGAAAACUAAAAAAAUCAAUUCUAAAGAAAGGAAGUAAAGAUUCAAAAACUAAAUCUAAAACGUUCGUAACGACAAAGCUAAAACGUUCUACAAAAAAACUCAAAAUCCAAAUCCAAAAGAACCAAAGAUAAAUCUUGAAAUCUCAAAUUAAAUAGAAUCUUACUAUCGGCGAUGCAGACAUUAAAUGAAAUUUAAAUGGGCAAAAAAAACAUGGCAUGAGUUUCCAACAGCUCCAGAUUAGAGUGCAGCUAGAAUUUUGGUUGGCUAUCCUACAACUUCUAGGACUACUCUAACCACUUUACUGAGGACCAAAACAUACGUUUUUUCUUUUUUUGCAAACAAAUACCAUUAGCAUUAUUAUUGAGAAAGGGGCUGGCCUUAGCUAUUCUUUCUUCACAACUUGAGCAUUCCCAGAUUUGCUAUGGAAAGCUAUUCUGAGAGCCUCAAAUUGUUUGGAAAGGAUAUUGUUCACACAACACGUCGCAACGCGAACUAGACUAAAAUUGUCCUUUUGUCCGGGACUUACGUAGGUGUGUACAAUAUUGACCAUGCACAAUUAUAGCUUCCCAUCUAUUGAAAUGGAGAAAAGUAAAAACUAAAUUUACUAUUUCGUCCGUCGACGUCGCAAAAAUUAGGGACUCUAGGUAUGACCUAACAGGACUUACGUUGACAUGACUAAAUAGGAUUAGAAAACUGACUAAUAAUCAGGCUAUGGACCUACUCGGGCCCCACGUUGGGCGCCAUUUAUGUAGUGUAGUGGUUGUGCAAAACAAAAGAAACUAGUGUUGCCAGAGUGGUAGUGGCGCUGGUAUGCUCGCGUUCGCCGGGCUUGGAGCUCGCCGGAUGAGGGUGGUUCUUGCUACCACUCUAGACUUCUACACAUACACACACACACACAUAAAAACCAUACCAGCUAAAAGAAAAAAAACGAAAUAAAAUAUAAAGGGGCACCGAGUAGGUUUCUCUCUGUCUACCUGAUGAAAUGUUCCUACGACCUAUAACGGCUGGCAGAUGUUGUGCCAGGAUAAACCCUCCCACUCGGGAUUGGAUAACCCCGCCAUGACAUCCUAAUAUUAGGGAUGUCCCAAAUUUUACCCUGCAAACUUUCCUUUCCCUACUUACCGCCGCUUAUAUUGUUUAACAGAUCAUUUUAAUUGAUUAAGACUUUUAAAAAUUUCAUUUAAACAUUAUAAAUGUGGGAUUUUAUUAUCGAAAUUACUCUCAAACAAGCUUUAACAAUACUAACUAAAUUUAGUUUUAGGUUUGGA